GGGUCAGUAGGUUGGUCGUGCCACCGGUACGUACUGGUCUCACUGACUCCUCCUUCCUGAAGAACCGUAAUGCCAUUAAUUUGGUGUUGCGGGGAAACAGGACUGUUACUUUGAAAAAAUUAGAGUGUUUAAAGCAAGCUAACGCUUGAAUACAUUAGCAUGGAAUAAUGAAAUAGGACGAUCGAUCCUAUUUUGUUGGUUUUUAGGAUUGACGUA
rnacentral:rRNA from 1 species